rnacentral:rRNA from 1 species
CAAUAGCGUAUAUUAAAGUUGUUGCGGUUAAAAAGCUCGUAGUUGGAUUUCUGCCGAGGACGACCGGUCCGCCCUCCGGGUGAGUAUCUGGCUCGGCCUGGGCAUCUUCUUGGAGAACGUAACUGCACUUGGCUGUGUGGUGCGGUAUUCAGGACUUUUACUUUGAGGAAAUUAGAGUGUUUCAAGCAGGCACACGCCUUGAAUACAUUAGCAUGGAAUAAUAAGAUAGCACCUCGGUUCUAUUUUGUUGGUUUCUAGAUCUGAGGUAAUGAUUAAUAGGGAUAGUCGGGGGCAUUCGUACUUAACUGUCAGAGGUGGAAUUCUUGGAUUUGUUAAAGACGAACUACUGCGAAAGCAUUUGCCAAGGAUGUUUUCAUUGA